GGAAGGCAGACCCAGGGAACUGAAACAUCUAAGUACCUGGAGGAAGAGAAAGAAAAAUCGAUUUCCUGAGUAGCGGCGAGCGAAACGGAAAGAGCCCAAACCAAGAAGCUUGCUUCUUGGGGUUGUAGGACACUCUAUACGGAGUUACAAAAGAAAGUUAUAAAUGAAGCGGUCUGGAAAGGCCCGCCAAAGACGGUAACAGCCCGGUAGUUGAAAUGGCUUUCCCUCCAGAGUGGAUCCUGAGUACGGCGGAACACGUGAAAUUCCGUCGGAAUCCGGGAGGACCAUCUCCCAAGGCUAAAUACUCCCUAGUGACCGAUAGUGAACCAGUACCGUGAGGGAAAGGUGAAAAGCACCCCGGAAGGGGAGUGAAACAGUUCCUGAAACCGUGU
rnacentral:rRNA from 1 species